AAUGAUUUCAAUAUUUUCAAGAGCCCAGUAUUGAUUUUAAAGGCAACUAAUUUAAAAUCUACAUAUAUUAUUAUAUUAAUGGUAACAACACAAAAUUGAUUUUACUGAAUAUUACUUUUGUGUUCUACGCUUUUAGGAAGGCGACACAUACUAGAAAAGAACAAAAACCUGUCAAAUUACCUAUAUGAAACAUUUGUAAAUAUAUUUGAUAGGUAGUUGAUGAAAAUUCAUAUAAUUUAUUCAAGUAAUUUACACUGUUCAGUGUCGGUAACAUAAUUUAUUUAAUGUUUAAAUAUAGAAGAACUAAAAUAUGAAAAAAAUCGAAAAAAAGACAAAGAAAUCAUCAUAUGAGUAACUUUACUAAUAUGCUAAAAUGAAUGUAUUAUUUUACUGUUAAGAACUUUUCUUAUAAUAUGCACUUAGGUAAUAAACUGCAACCUAAUAGGAAUUAAAAUGUUA